GCACGACUCUCGGCAACGGAUAUCUCGGCCCUGGCCACGAUGAAGAACGUAGCGAAAUGCGAUACUUAGUGUGAAUUGCAGAAUCCCGUGAGUCAUCCAGUCUUUGAAUGCAAGUUGCGCCCGAGGCUUCGAAUGAGGGCACGUCUGCCUGGGUGUCGCAC
rnacentral:rRNA from 1 species